rnacentral:rRNA from 1 species
CACGCAGGCGGUUAUGCAAGUCUGAUGUGAAAUCUCCGGGCUCAACUCGGAAUCCGCGUUGGAAACUGCAUGACUAGAGUAUUAGAGGGGGAGUCGGAAUUCCUAGUGUGGGGGUGAAAUCUGUUGAUAUUAGGAAGAACACCGGUGGCGAAGGCGGACUCCUGGCUGAAUACUGACGCUGAGGUGCGAAAGCAUAGGGAGCAAACAGGAUUAGAUACCCUGGUAGUCUAUGCUGUAAACGAUGUGCACUUGGUGUUGGGCCGAUUAGGUUCAGUGCCGAAGCUAACGCGAUAAGUGCACCGCCUGGGGAGUAUGCCCGCAAGGGUGAA